rnacentral:tRNA from 1 species
GCCUCUGUAGCUCAAUGGAAGAGCAGUUCCGUCCUAAGGAAAGGGUUGGGGGUUCGAGUCCCUCCAGGGGCGC